rnacentral:lncRNA from 1 species
AACCCCUGGCCAGGGUACAUGGUAUAUGGAAAGAGUUUCCAACUGUGUUGCCAUAUUGAGUUGAUUUCAGAUAGUCUAGUCAUAUGGUCGAAUGAUAAGGUUUGGCGAGUAACCAUAACCUUAGUUCGAUUGGGACAUUGCAUGUUGGAAGGAAUUAAUCAUAUGGUAACUGUAAGCGGAAAGGUUCAUUCUUCAUCACCAUUCUGGAUUGCCGUGAUAUACUGCUAGGUGUCACUCACGGACGGUGAGAGAAUAUGAAUAAUUCGAAUUGAAUUGUUCUUAUUUAUCGAUUAGAAGAGUUCUAAUUAAAUAUCAAAGAAUUUGAUGUUGAGUUCCACUGCCGAAUGGUAAUGAACCUAUGCGGUCACACACAUUAGGAAUUGUGUGCACCUAAUUGUUUGGAUGAGAGUUAUUCACUAAAGAGUUUAGUGUAAGCGAUGAAAAGCUGUUUAAUUAAAUUAGAUUUAAUUAUUCGAUUCGGUUAUAACUGAUAGUCCUAAUUAGAUUAGGAUCUCAGAAUCAGUUUGAGAAUUAUGCGCGAGAUUUAAAUUUAUCUCUGAUUAGAUUAGGGAUAAUAUUUAAUCAUAAAAGGUAUUUAAAUGAGAUUUAAAUAUUAGUAAGUAAUCUUAUUGGAUAAGAU